GACGAACGCUGGCGGCGUGCCUAACACAUGCAAGUCGAACGAGAUCCAUGGGAGCUUGCUCCCGGAAGAUCUAGUGGCGAACGGGUGAGUAACACGUGAGAAACCUGCCCUGGAGUGGGGAAUAACUCGGGGAAACUCGAGCUAAUACCGCAUACCCUCGGAUGGUCGCGUGGCCGACCGAGGAAAGAUUUAUCGCUCUAGGAGGGUCUCGCGGCCUAUCAGCUAGUUGGUGGGUAACGGCCUACCAAGGCAACGACGGGUAGCUGGUUUGAGAGAACGAUCAGCCACACUGGGACUGAGACACGGCCCAGACUCCUACGGGAGGCAGCAGUGGGGAAUCUUGCGCAAUGGGCGAAAGCCUGACGCAGCAACGCCGCGUGCGGGAUGACGGCCUUCGUGGUUGUAA
rnacentral:rRNA from 1 species